GACGAACGCUGGCGGCGUGCUUAACACAUGCAAGUCGAACGGAAAGGCCCUGCUUUUGUGGGGUGCUCGAGUGGCGAACGGGUGAGUAACACGUGUGUAACCUGCACUUAACUUUGGGAUAACUUCAGGAAACUGGGGAUAAUACCGGAUAGGAGAUACUGCUGCAUGGUGGGGGUUGGAAAGUUUCGGCGGUUGUGGAUGGACUCGAGGGUUAUCAGCUUGUUGGUGAAGUAGUGGCUGACCAAGUGUUUGAAGGGUAGCCGGCCUGGGAGGGUGACCGGGGUCAAGGGGACUGCGGUAGGGCGCAGACGGCAACGGUAGGCAGUAGGCGGGAAUAUGGCAGAAUGGGCGGGAGUCUGAGGCGGCAGCGCCGCGUGCGGAAUGACGGCUUUCGGGGUGUAAACCGCUUUCGCCUUAGAUGAAGCGUGAGUGACGGUAAUGAGUAAAGAAGCACCGGCUAACUACGUG
rnacentral:rRNA from 1 species